rnacentral:lncRNA from 1 species
AGGCGAACUUUCCAAUUUUUUCCUUCCUUUCCUUUCCUUUCCUUUUUCUUUUUUCUUUUCCUUUUUUCCCCUCUUUUCUCUUUCUCUUCUCCCUGCUUUCAGCUUCUCUCUCUUUGUAUAUGUUUGCAAAAAUGAAAUGGAUUUGUUUGGUAAUGGAUUGAUAUAAAAACAAUGCACUGUCUGACCAUUUUUUAAAAUUUUGUUUGCUUUUCAUUUUUUUAGAUGACAGACAUCUUUGACUCCAUUCUUAUGUUUGAUUAUUAUAAUUUAUUUUUAAUUUAACUUGGUUAUUACAAACUUACCCUCUUAAAAGAAUUUCGUCAUCAAAGGUUGCCAAUAGCUUGACCAUGGAGAGGAGCCAGCUAAUUACCAAAACAAGCGUAGCAAAAUAAAAAAAAAACGUCAAAACUAAAAAUAAGGGGGUGAGUAAGGAGUUAAUACUUACUAUAUUCACCAUAAAAUUGAAGAAUAUUACAAAAGGGUGGGUCAUUGGGUUGAAGCCCCCAAGAAAAAAGAAAAAGAAAAAAAAAUCCUUUUUCCAGUUGUGUACCUUGUUAGGAGUAAUUACAAGUUUUGGACAUACUUUGGAAGAACGAGAAAGGUAAUAGUACCCUUUUUGCGGAUUUUAUUUAUUUCUUGCCUUCAUGGGAUGAUAGAUGGAUCGAAAUAUGUUCAAUAUAACUUUCCCCUCUAAACCCGCAAGUUUUUACCCAAAAAAAAUAAAAUAAAAUAAAAUAAAAAACCAAUGAGCCCACCCAUUAGAAGUUAACUGGGUCAAAGCAAUAUCGAAGGAAGAAACAAUGUCACAAAAAGAAAUAAUGAAAAGGAAGUCUAACCCAAUAGCUAUAGAAGGCUUAUGAAUAGCUAUAUAGUCAUGAAGAGGACAGGCUAUAGGUUAAAAAUUACCUGGAACAUAAAAACUUUAUAUCAACGGGGAGAAUAAAACGAUCCUAAAUAUCUCCAAAUUGUUUCAGUAAGAUUGAUAAAAAUUUCUGGACAGUCCGUAGUUUGAAACUACCCUAGACAUAAUAACUCUAUAUGACCAGGGAUAUUAAAACAUCCCAAAUAUCAUCCAAAUCUUUUUCCAAUAAGAUCACAAAAAGUUUUUGAGAUCGGAAAAACCUCCCUAUCACUGACAUUAAGGCUACCCGACUCACUCAAAAGUUCGCACACUGUAUUCCAUGCCUCAACCCUAACUUAAGAACUAUUCCCUAACUUAAGUUUUGGGUUAACUCUAGAACUAGAAGGAAUAAUCACAUGAUGAGACAACGUUCUAGAACACCUAAUCUCUUCAGAAGAAAAAGAGACUCUAAAGAAAGUGUCCCUAAGUCUAGAGCUUUCGACCUUAGGGUCAUAAAAAAUAUUUUGAUAGUAGCUUCGGGAAAAUAUUGUAAUAAAAAAAAUUCACAAAUACAAGAUUCAAGUAGAAUAUGUACUAAAAGAAGUUUGUAAAGAAAGACAAAAGAAAGCAGGAGGAAUAAUAAUCGGAAACUAAGCUUAGAAGGCAAAAACAAUAGAGAAGAAGUGGGAAAGGG